rnacentral:rRNA from 1 species
GACGAACGCUGGCGGCGCGCCUAACACAUGCAAGUCGAACGAGCGAGAGAGAGCUUGCUUUCUCGAGCGAGUGGCGAACGGGUGAGUAACGCGUGAGGAACCUGCCUCAAAGAGGGGGACAACAGUUGGAAACGACUGCUAAUACCGCAUAAGCCCACAGCUCGGCAUCGAGCAGAGGGAAAAGGAGUGAUCCGCUUUGAGAUGGCCUCGCGUCCGAUUAGCUAGUUGGUGAGGUAACGGCCCACCAAGGCGACGAUCGGUAGCCGGACUGAGAGGUUGAACGGCCACAUUGGGACUGAGACACGGCCCAGACUCCUACGGGAGGCAGCAGUGGGGAAUAUUGCACAAUGGGGGAAACCCUGAUGCAGCGACGCCGCGUGGAGGAAGAAGGUCUUCGGAUUGUAAACUCCUGUUGUUGAGGAAGAUAAUGACGGUACUCAACAAGGAAGUGACGGCCAACUACGUGCCAGCCGCCGCCGUAA